AGAGUUUGAUCCUGGCUCAGGACGAACGCUGGCGGCGUGCUUAACACAUGCAAGUCGAGCGAGAGCCUGGGGGCUUGCCCCCAGGGGACAGCGGCGAACGGGUGCGUAACACGUGGGCAACCUGCCCCUCUCUCUGGGAUAACCCCGGGAAACCGGAGCUAAUACCGGAUACUCCGGCUGGAUCGCAUGGUCCGGUCGGGAAAGGUCCGCCGGAGAGGGAUGGGCCCGCGGCCUAUCAGCUUGUUGGUAGGGUAACGGCCUACCAAGGCCACGAUCAGUAUCCGGCCUGAGAGGGCGGACGGACACACUGGGACUGAGACACGGCCCAGACUCCUACGGGAGGCAGCAGUGGGGGAUUGUUCGCAAUGGGCGCAAGCCUGACGACGCAACGCCGCGUGGAGGACGAAGAUCUUCGGGUCGUAAACUCCUGUCGAGUGGGAUGAAUGGAUCGGGGAUGAAUAAUCUCCGAUAUUGACGGUACCACUAAAGGAAGCCCCGGCUAACUCCGUGCCAGCAGCCGCGGUAAUACGGGGGGGGCAAGCGUUGUUCGGAAUUACUGGGCGUAAAGGGCUCGUAGGCGGCCAACUAAGUCGGACGUGAAAUCCCCAGGCUCAACCUGGGAACUGCGUCCGAUACUGGAUGGCUUGAAUUCGGGAGAGGGAUGCAGAAUUCCAGGUGUAGCGGUGAAAUGCGUAGAUAUCUGGAGGAAUACCGGUGGCGAAGGCGGCAUCCUGGACCGACAUUGACGCUGAGGAGCGAAAGCUAGGGGAGCAAACGGGAUUAGAUACCCCAGUAGUCC
rnacentral:rRNA from 1 species